GAUGAAGAACGUAGCGAAAUGCGAUAAGUAAUGUGAAUUGCAGAAUUCAGUGAAUCAUCGAAUCUUUGAACGCACAUUGCGCCCCGUGGUAUUCCGCGGGGCAUGCCUGUUCGAGCGUCAUUACACCACUCAAGCCUCGCUUGGUAUUGGGCGACGCGGUACGCCGCGCGCCUCAAAUCUUCCGGCUGGUUCGAAUCGUCCCUCAGCGUUGUGGAAACUAUUCGCUAAAGGUGCGCGUUUCGGUCACGCCGUUAAACAAGCCAAUUGCAUUAAAGGUUGACCUCGGAUCAGGUAGGGAUACCCGCUGAACUUAAGCAGAUCAAUAAGCGGAGGA
rnacentral:misc_RNA from 1 species